CUUUAGUGGCGAACGGGUGCGUAAUACGUGAGAAUCUGCCCUUAGGAGGAGAAUAACUUCUGGAAACGGUUGCUAAGUCUCCAUAUGCCGAGAGGUGAAAUAGUUUAUACUGCCUAGGGAUGAGCUCACGCCUGAUUAGCUUGUUGGUAAGGUAAUGGCUUACCAAGGCCACGAUCAGUAGCUGGUUUGAGAGAACGAUCAGCCACACUGGGACUGAGACACGGCCCAGACUCCUCCGGGAGGCAGCAGUGAGGAAUUUUCCGCAAUGGGCGAAAGCCUGACGGAGCAAUACCGCGUGAGGGAUGAAGGAUUUUGGUCUGUAAACCUCUUUUCUCAAGAAAGAAGUUCUGACGGUACUUGAGGAAUAAGCAUCGGCUAACUCCGUGCCAGCAGCCGCGGUAAUACGGGGGAUGCAAGCGUUAUCCGGAAUCAUUGGGCGUAAAGCGCCUGCAGGUUGUUUAAUAAGUCUGUUGUUAAAGACUAGGGCUUAACCCUAG
rnacentral:rRNA from 1 species